GGAAGUGGACAGGUCCUGGUGGGCCUCCUGGACUUCAAAUCCAGUGGCGGGCAGACGAUGUCCGUGGUGGGUUCGAUUCCCAUGCACUUCCGCCA
rnacentral:tRNA from 1 species